AGCGAACGUUUGCGGCGGGCUUAACACAUGCAAGUCGAACGGGCUGUUCCUUCGGGGGCAGUCAGUGGCGCACGGGUGCGUAACACGUAGGUAAUCAACCCUCUGGUUGGGGAUAACACUUCGAAAGGAGUGCUAAUACCCGGUAUGGCGCAGCGGUCUUCGGAUCGCGGCGAGAAAGACCCGCAAGGGUUGCCAGAGGACGAGCCUGCGGCCCAUCAGCUAGUUGGCGAGGUAACGGCUCACCAAGGCGAAGACGGGUAGCUGGUCUGAGAGGAUGAUCAGCCACACUGGAACUGAGACACGGUCCAGACUCCUACGGGAGGCAGCAGUGGGGAAUAUUGCGCAACGGGCGAAAGCCUGACGCAGCCACGCCGCGUGAGCGAUGAAGGCCUUC
rnacentral:rRNA from 1 species